rnacentral:rRNA from 1 species
UACUAGAGUAGCACUCGCAUAUCAAUAAGCGGAGGAAAAGAAACUAACAAGGAUUCCCCUAGUUAACGGCGAGUGAAGCGGGAAGAGCUCAAAUUUGAAAUCUUAAAGGGUUUCCCUUUACGAAUUGUAGUUUAAAGAAGUGUUUUCUGUUGAGGUUUUGGUAAAAGUUCUUUGGAAUAGGACAUCAUAGAGGGUGAGAAUCCCGUAUUUGACCUUUACUUUCAACUUUGUGAUACACUUUCAAAGAGUCGGAUUGUUUGGGAAUGCAGUCCAAAAUGGGUGGUAAAUUUCAUCUAAAGCUAAAUAUUGGCGAGAGACCGAUAGCGAACAAGUACCGUGAGGGAAAGAUGAAAAGAACUUUGAAAAGAGAGUUAAACAGUACGUGAAAUUGUCAAAAGGGAAGCGUUUGACACCAGUGUUGUUUUUCUGAAAAUCAAUUAAAGAACUGUUUAUGCUAAGCUUGUUUAGACUUUAUCAGCUAUCUGUUUAGUUUUGAGCUUUUCUUUAAUGCACUUUUCAGUUAACAAGUCAACAUCAAUUUCUUUUGCUGUAAAAAAGCUUGAGGAGGGUGGCUUGAGAUUCGUCUUAAGUGUUUAUAGCCUCUUGCCUAUGCAGUCGGAGAGAUUGAGGUCUGCAGCGUAGAUCCUUCGGGGCUAAAUGCAUUUGUGCUAAGUUAUAGCAUUUUAUAGACAACUUGUUGACUAUGAUUUGUCUUGUAGCUUACUCGCUUAUGUUAUUUUACCUACGCUUAGGAUGUUGAGUAGCGACAUACGCAC